AUUGAACGCUGGCGGCAUGCCUUACACAUGCAAGUCGAACGGUAACGCGGGUCAACCUGGCGACGAGUGGCGAACGGGUGAGUAAUGCAUCGGAACGUGCCCAGGUGAGGGGGAUAACUGCUCGAAAGAUCAGCUAAUACCUCAUACGACCUGAGGGUGAAAGCUGGGGAUCGGAAGACCUCGGGCAAGCGGAGCGGCCGAGAUCAGAUUAGCUAGUUGGUGGGGUAACGGCCUACCAAGGCAACGAUCAGUAGUUGGUAUGAGAGGACGAGCAGCCACACUGGGACUGAGACACGGCCCAGACUCCUACGGGAGGCAGCAGUGGGGAAUUUUGGACAAUGGGCGCAAGCCUGAUCCAGCAAUGCCGCGUGCAGGAAGAAGGCCUUCGGGUUGUAGACUGCUUUUGUCAGGGAAGAAAUCUUCUGGGUUAAUACCUCAGGAGGAUGACGGUACCUGAAGAAUAAGCACCGGCUAACUACGUGCCAGCCGCCGCAGUAAUAC
rnacentral:rRNA from 1 species